UACGGAGGGGGCGAGCGUUAUUCGGAAUUAUUGGGCGUAAAGGGCGCGUAGGCGGCUUGAUGUGUCAAAGGUGAAAUCCCUCGGCUCAACUGAGGAACUGCCUUUGAAACUGUCUGGCUUGAGGCCGGGAGAGGGGAGCGGAAUUCCCAGUGUAGCGGUGAAAUGCGUAGAUACUGGGAGGAACACCGGUGGCGAAGGCGGGACUCUGGGCCGAUACUGACGCUGAGGAGCGAAAGCGUGGGGAGCGAACAGG
rnacentral:rRNA from 1 species